rnacentral:lncRNA from 1 species
UUUUGGAGCAGUUUGUUAUGUAGUAAUAGAUAACCAAAACCAAAAGACAAAAGACAUCCACGGCCUUGUACUAAAUACUUACUGGCUAACAAAUACUGCUCUUAUCCAUUCCUCAUGCACUUCCACGCUCUCUGGUAUUCUGUUUCCUACCGAAUGCUACUAGAGCAUACCAGUAUCACGUGCAUUCCUGUUCAUUUCUCCCCUGAGGCUCUACCAGAAACAGGUGAUUCCAGUGUGCAGCCAAAAUAGAGGAACACUGCGCCAAAUCUGCCAGUGGAAGGAGCCUGUGAGGGAGUAGGGAGCAGACAAGAGGGAGGCCCCGAGAGACAGCGCACUAGAAACGUGUGGUUUUAUCUCAUGCACGACUUCCAUGGCCAACAUUUACUCCACUGAGAGCUUCUAACUCCACUCCGCCCUCGUGGGUGGAGCAGCGUUGCACCCAGGCUGGCUCACCUUAUGGUCCCAGCAUGGCCACAGAAGCUCUAGGACUCAAACCCGACUCAGCAAGGUGAAGAGGAAGAGGGAAUGUCUCUUCACUGCUUACUUAGGAGCAGUAAACAGUUCUCAAAAUCCACCCUGCAGGGUGACCCUCACAUCACAGUGGCUCCAGCUGUGUCACAUUUCCCAUUUCUAAUCCAAACACUGGCGAAGGGGUUACCCUGUUUGGUGUUGGUUACUCAGGAUCCUCCUCUUGGAGCUGGAAAUAAGGCAUUUGUCAAGAUCCUGGGGACGUGUCACAGUGCUAAGAUGCUGGGAGAGAGACCCACCUGGUCUUCAGUCGUCCAUCCACACUUGUGGCUGCUGACAAACUGCCGUUUCUAUUUGUGUUUCCCCUUCAGCCGCAUGGAUUCCUCUCUCGCCUUAGAGCACAGAAUCUGGAAGAAUCUAUACAGAUAGCUACUCUUCUACUUCCAGAGGCAGCUACAUAAUUUGCAGGAAAAAAAUGUCCAUUAAAGGUCCUAAAUAUAAAGCUUUUUCCUUUUUUUCUGCUCUCUCAACUUGCCAUAGUGUAUUUUAUUUGCCACUUAAUACUAAUCUAAAUAAAGAAAAAUUAAAAUAUUAAAUAAUUA